UCUAGGUCCCCAAACUAUGAAAUCGCUCGUCUGACUCUCUAAUGUAUUUAGGUGAUCUCAUCUAGGUCCCCAAACUACGAAAUCGUACGUCUGACUCCCUAAUGUAUUUAAGUGAUCUCAUAUAGGUCCAAAAUACACAUAAGGAGGGUUAGAAAGCUAACAUGAUCAUCCACAUGGAUAUGAUUUAAGCACAUGAUCCCUGAUUUAAGUCCACAGGUGCAGCCGUUGGCUCGUCCCUGCUCACCAUCACAGCGCCCACGGCAUACGAUCUGGUCAUGUAGACGGCAAUG
rnacentral:lncRNA from 1 species